rnacentral:lncRNA from 1 species
CAGGUUUUGGCAUUGACUUGCGUUUGAAUAGCUGUGGGUGACAGACUUACAACAGCGCUGAGAGCAAACGCGCGAUCUUUCUCUUUCAGACCAAACGCUGCGGGCUACACGCCGGGGAUUGCGGGAAAUAUUACAUUUCUACCGGACAAUAAGAGUUUCCUUUAACGGAUUCCAGAGUUUGGACUCAAAUCGGAGGCUGCGUCGCGCGCCGCGCACCAAACAAACGAACGUGCCUUUUUGUCCACGCGCUCAGAUGCGUGUUCAUUCCACUGGCGCAGCACUGAAUAACUAUUGUAGCGGUAGGAGAUUUAUAAGGCAAGUGUUUCCAGCCCAGACAGACACGUUUUCAUAAGGCACAGCUGGUUGCGCUGGCGUGGACUGUUUUUGCCAUCAUUUGUUAGACAUAAGGCAGUUUAUUCCCGUUUAUUGCAAACGACUUCUUGGAUACUGGAUGGCUGUCCGAAGGGGAAUACAACGGAUGCAGGACCAAGCCGGGAAUGCCAGUUGUUCACGAGCAGCAUAAACGAGCUUUGUUGCGCGGUGUUUUUACCCGGGGACAGGUGUCGUUGUGUAUGUUGGGGCGGGGGGUUAGUUGUUGGGGGUUCGGACACAGUUGUCUUAAGGAUGUCAGAUCAGGGAUCAGAUCUGCACAUAGACAGGUGCGAUAGAGAGGAGUAGAUUUCACGCGGACCCCUCCUCUCUUCUCCUCUCAGUCAUUCUGGAUUAUAGUCCCGAGGAGGCGAGUCAUUCACAGAGAACCGGGCUCAACGUUUCCCGCGGCUGUUAUCGCCUCUGUCUCUUUCUCACCCCUUCUGUGAGAGUUCACCGCUGGUGGAGCUGUGUGAAGCUGAGGAGAGUUCAGACCUCAACCUGGAGGAGCUUCACUCAGCUCUAAUCCAACCCUCCAGACCUGUCUGUCUGCCUGCU